rnacentral:rRNA from 1 species
CCUACGGGAGGCAGCAGUGAGGAAUAUUGGUCAAUGGCCGCAGGGCUGAACCAGCCAAGUCGCGUGAGGGAUGACGGUCCUAUGGAUUGUAAACCUCUUUUGUCAGGGAGCAAAGGGCGCCACGUGUGGCGCUUUGCGAGUACCUGAAGAAAAAGCAUCGGCUAACUCCGUGCCAGCAGCCGCGGUAAUACGGAGGAUGCGAGCGUUAUCCGGAUUUAUUGGGUUUAAAGGGUGCGCAGGCGGAAUGUCAAGUCAGCGGUAAAAUUUCGGGGCUCAACCCCGUCGUGCCGUUGAAACUGGCGUUCUUGAGGGAGCGAGAAGUAUGCGGAAUGCGUGGUGUAGCGGUGAAAUGCAUAGAUAUCACGCAGAACUCCGAUUGCGAAGGCAGCAUACCGGCGCUCAACUGACGCUCAUGCACGAAAGCGUGGGUAUCGAACAGGAUUAGAUACCCCAGUAGUC